rnacentral:rRNA from 1 species
GUCCACGCCGUAAACUAUGGGUGCUAGCCGUUGGACAGCUUGCUGUUCAGUGGCGCAGCUAACGCAUUAAGCACCCCGCCUGGGGAGUACGGCCGCAAGGUUAAAACUCAAAGGAAUUGACGGGGGCCCGCACAAGCGGUGGAGCAUGUGGUUUAAUUCGACGCAACGCGAAGAACCUUACCAGCUCUUGACAUGUCAGGUCGGUUUCCAGAGAUGGAUUCUCCCAGCAAUGGGUCUGAACACAGGUGCUGCAUGGCUGUCGU